GACGAACGCUGGCGGCGUGCCUAACACAUGCAAGUCGAACGGAAAGGCCCUGCUUUUGCUGCGCGCUCGAGUGGCGAACGGGUGAGUAACACGCGAGUAACCCGCACUUGUAUUUGGGAUAACUUCAGGAAACUGGGGCUCAUAUCGGAUAGGAGCUCCUGCUGCAUGGUGGGGGUUGGAAAGAUUCGGCGGUUGGGGAUGGUCUCGCGGGUUAAGGGCUUGUUGGUGGGGUAGUGGCUUACCAAGGGUUUGACGGGUAGCCCGCCUGAGAGGGGGACCGGCGACAAUAGGACUGCGGUAGGGAGCAGUCUGGAACGGGAGGCAGCGGGCGGAAAUUUUACGCAAUAGGCGAGAGCGUGAGACGAAGACGCCGCGUGCGGAAUGACGGCCUACGGGUUGAAAACCGCUUUCGCCGGUGACAAAGCGUGAGUGACGGUAAUUAGUAAAGAAGCACCGGCUAACUACGUG
rnacentral:rRNA from 1 species